UUUGAAAUCUGGCUCUUUUAGGGUCCGAGUUGUAAUUUGUAGAGGAUGCUUCGGCGUGGGCUCCGGUCUAAGUUCCUUGGAACAGGACGUCAUAGAGGGUGAGAAUCCCGUAUGUGAUCGGUUGCCUUUGCCAUGUGAAGCUCCUUCGAUGAGUCGAGUUGUUUGGGAAUGCAGCUCUAAAUGGGAGGUAAAUUUCUUCUAAAGCUAAAUACUGGCCAGAGACCGAUAGCGCACAAGUAGAGUGAUCGAAAGAUGAAAAGCACUUUGGAAAGAGAGUCAAAAAGUACGUGAAAUUGUUGAAAGGGAAGCGCUUGCAACCAGACCUGCCUGCAGUUGCUCAUCCGGGCUUUUGCCCGGUGCACUCUUCUGCUGUCAGGCCAGCAUCGGUUCGGGCGGUCGGAUAAAGGCUUCGGGAAUGUAGCUCCUCUCGAGGAGUGUUAUAGCCCGUUGCGAAAUGCGGCCAGCCUGAACUGAGGUCCGCGCUUCGGCUAGGAUGCUGGCGUAAUGGUUGUAAGCGGCCCGUCUUGAAACACGGACCAAGGAGUCUAACAUCUGUGCGAGUGUUUGGGUGUCAAACCCGUACGCGUAAUGAAAGUGAACGGAGGCGGGAACCCCUCGGGGUGCACCGUCGACCGAUCCUGAUGUCUUCGGAUGGAUUUGAGUAAGAGCAUAGCUGUUGGGACCCGAAAGAUGGUGAACUAUGCCUGAAUAGGGUGAAGCCAGAGGAAACUUUGGUGGAGGCUCGCAGCGGUU
rnacentral:rRNA from 1 species